UACGAAGGGGGCUAGCGUUGCUCGGAAUGACUGGGCGUAAAGCGCGCGUAGGCGGCCCGGUACGUCCGCUGUAAAAGUCCAGGGCUCAACCCUGGAAAGCCGGUGGAUACUGUCGGGCUAGAGUCCGGAAGAGGCGAGUGGAAUUCCUGGUGUAGCGGUGGAAUGCGCAGAUAUCAGGAGGAACACCGGUGGCGAAGGCGGGUCUCUGGGCCACUACUGACGCUGAGAAGCGAAAGCAUGGGGAGCGAACAGG
rnacentral:rRNA from 1 species